GACGAACGCUGGCGGCGUGCUUAACACAUGCAAGUCGAACGAUGAUGCCCAGCUUGCUGGGUGGAUUAGUGGCGAACGAGUGAGUAACACGUGAGUAACCUGCCCCUGACUCUGGGAUAAGCGUUGGAAACGACGUCUAAUACUGGAUAUGACUGCCGGCCGCAUGGUCUGGUGGUGGAAAGAUUUUUUGGUUGGGGAUGGACUCGCGGCCUAUCAGCUUGUUGGUGAGGUAAUGGCUCACCAAGGCGACGACGGGUAGCCGGCCUGAGAGGGUGACCGGCCACACUGGGACUGAGACACGGCCCAGACUCCUACGGGAGGCAGCAGUGGGGAAUAUUGCACAAUGGGCGAAAGCCUGAUGCAGCAACGCCGCGUGAGGGAUGACGGCCUCCGGGUUGUAAACCUCUUUUAGUAGGGAAGAAGCGAAAGUGACGGUACCUGCAGAAAAAGCACCGGCUAACUACGUGCCAGCCGCCGCAGUAA
rnacentral:rRNA from 1 species